GAUGAACGCUAGCUACAGGCUUAACACAUGCAAGUCGAGGGGAAACGAUAGAGAAAGCUUGCUUUUUCUAGGCGUCGACCGGCGCACGGGUGAGUAACGCGUAUCCAACCUGCCCACCACUUGGGGAUAACCUUGCGAAAGUAAGACUAAUACCCAAUGACGUCUCUAGAAGACAUCUGAAAGGGAUUAAAGAUUUAUCGGUGAUGGAUGGGGAUGCGUCUGAUUAGCUUGUUGGCGGGGUAACGGCCCACCAAGGCGACGAUCAGUAGGGGUUCUGAGAGGAAGGUCCCCCACAUUGGAACUGAGACACGGUCCAAACUCCUACGGGAGGCAGCAGUGAGGAAUAUUGGUCAAUGGGCGAGAGCCUGAACCAGCCAAGUAGCGUGCAGGAUGACGGCCCUAUGGGUUGUAAACUGCUUUUAUAAGGGAAUAAAGUGAGUCUCGUGAGACUUUUUGCAUGUACCUUAUGAAUAAGGACCGGCUAAUUCCGUGCCAGCCGCCGCCGUAAUAC
rnacentral:rRNA from 1 species